rnacentral:rRNA from 1 species
UACGUAGGGUCCAAGCGUUGUCCGGAUUUAUUGGGCGUAAAGAGCUCGUAGGCGGCUUAGUAAGUCGGAUGUGAAAACUCGGGGCUCAACCCCGAGACGCCAUCCGAUACUGCUGUGGCUUGAGUCUGGUAGGGGAACACGGAAUUCCUGGUGUAGCGGUGAAAUGCGCAGAUAUCAGGAGGAACACCGAUGGCGAAGGCAGUGUUCUGGGCCAGUACUGACGCUGAGGAGCGAAAGCGUGGGGAGCGAACAGG